UAAGAGAUGAAAGGUGCUAAGAGCCUACUAGAAUGGAAAAAGAAAAGUAGACCAUAGGAGUCAAAGAGAAGAAAUAGCUGCUGCACGUUCGUUCAUACUCAUGCUCGGCAAGAACGACCCUCAUCAAAAAGCGGUAUAUGUCCUAUGCAGCAGAUUAUAUCUUAUACUAUAGCUAGAACUCUUUGUAAUUACACUCAUCCAGCUUUUCCAUAAGAGAUGAAGCUUUGUUCUGCCGACUCCUUUCCAACUCAAUGAUCUGUUCCUGGAAAGAUUAGUGGGCGGUCUUCAGAUCCUUGCGUACAGCGUGGCAUGCAUCAAGGAAGUGCAUCUUUUCCUUAAGGGCUUAUAAAGUUAUUUCGCUUUAGCUACUACCUCAGCCACGAUUACGUUCUUCUUCUCCAAGAUCAUAUAGGGAUAGAACUUAUUCCGCUUUCCCCAAAACUAAAGACUUCCAAUGCAAUGAAAAAAGCACGACUCCGCUUAGAGAAUGGCGACAAAGCCCUGUGACUCAAAAAAGCCCUCUAUCGGCAACUGUAGACAUAUCCGAAAGUUCUACUAGAGCACACUCUCGGAGGCGGCGAAUCAAAGAAUGACCCAUCUAAUUCGAAAAUAUAGAAAGACUGGAAACAAGCAUAUAACCCAGCACUCACGAUUUGCUAGCCACGGCAUCACCAGUAAAAGAACCCUGAUUGCCUUAUUCCAGUAUUAAGGGAAAAGAAAACCAAACAUAAAGUAUAGAGUAACUACGAAGACCAAAAGCCCGGCAUUUCCGUCUUAGAUGCCCCCCGUCGAAGGCAAGGCAGAUCUUUUGAAUUCAAAGAAGAGCCUUAAGAUCAGACAAGAAAGAAGCCAAAAUAAUUCCUAGUAAGUUGCGGAAAAGAGAGAGCAGAGGAUUUGCGACCUGUUAAUGUACGAGGUAGGCUUGAACAGCGUAGGCUCUUUGCAAGAAGGGUAAGGCAAGCGCAAGGAUUGGCUGACAGAGUUCAGGCGAAUGAAGAAAAGCUAUACUAUAACGGACUUGUAGCUUCUAGUGCUCGAGUGGCUUGCAGCUUCGGGUGCGAAUACGGAUACCGCUUACUUUAGAGCUCGUGCUGUUGCGAGUAAGUAGUCUCUCUGCUCAUAGUCGUCCCGUUCAUAGACGCUAGAGCUACUACGAUAAGGCUAGCUCCUCGUAGAGUGGCAUUAGCUCCUCUUCAACCAGUCGAGUUCGAGUGCGCUGGUAUACGAUGGUAUAGGGUGCUUCUCUGAUCUUCUUCUUCCCACGAUAAACGAAAGAAUUCCUUGUAGGGCAAAUACAGGACUUGUAAUAA
rnacentral:lncRNA from 1 species